GCACCGGAAGCACAGCUUUGGUAGUGCGCCACCUUGCCAAGGUGGAGGUCACGGGUUCGAACCCCGUUCGGUGCUC
rnacentral:tRNA from 1 species